GGGUCUGUAGCUCAAUUAGUAGAGCGUCUACCUUGCAAGUAGAAAAGAUGUCAGUUCAAAUCUGACCAGUAUCCA
rnacentral:tRNA from 1 species